GAAAGUCCUUUGAGGUUUCUUAUAUCCUCUACUGAAUUAUUCAAUAUCCUUCAUGAUGCCAGCGAGAUGCCAUUUUGUUUCCUGGCAUAUCUAUAUCAAAUGCAAAAAUUUAUGUUUGAUGGCAAACCUUGGAAGGUUGGACUCGAAAUGAAGAAUUUAAUCGCUUGCACAAGUUUCUUAGUCGAGCAAAAACUGAUUAAGGAAUGCCCUUUCGAGAAAGAUGCAGAAGCUCUAAGGUGUCAGAAGUUGCUUGUAGAGGAGGAAGAAUCUGCUCAGAGAAGACAAUUUGAACUCUUGGAAAGAAAAAGGCUAAAGAAGCUUAGAAAAAAUAGCAGAAAGCAAAG